rnacentral:miRNA from 1 species
UAAAGCUAGUUCAGCAAGGCA